UUUUUGUACAUUACUGCGAUGCUUUACUGCACCUUAACCUAUACAGUGCAGUUCUCGAUGAGCCGGUGUAACAGGCUUGAUCGUAAAGUACCUAUAUAUACCUAAUUUGUAAAAUGCUACAGUGAGAAUAUCUCGAUCCUAAGAAUUGUAGAUGUGUGUAUAUGUUUAAAAGAAAAUGGAAAAUGUACAAAGAGAAGAGGUCAAAAAAUAUCAAACGAUAUAAAGACAACUACUGCUACCCUAAGCUGGUAAUAUGAGCCAUAACAGUACGAGGGUCACCCCUUUUAUCACAUAAAACACAUGUAUAACUGGGUUCGCAAGAAUCCCUAUCAACCAGUUCAAUUACUUGGUCUUCCAUACCAGGUGGUACUGGUUCUCCAGGUGCCAAACCAUCGCCAAUAGCUGCCAACUGUGUCGGUGGUGCUGUUUUCACAAUAUCUGAUCGUUUGGACCAUAACAAAACUGGAUAUGGCCAUUCAUCUAAUUUCAUUUUAUGACGAUUACACAUAUUAUGAUUCAGUAACUUGUGAGCUCCGAACAGGGCUAUGUUACAUAUAUGACACCAUAUAUCACCACCUUCUGUUUCAGAAUACACAGGCCUAAGCGUGCCACCUUCAGCAGUGACACUGCUUCUCAUUAAACGUUUUCGAUCAUAUUCUUUCUGUGGAAUACAAAUACUUUAUCAAGUGUACAAGUAAUUGCUAUUUUAAUAAUAUUCAUAUUGCAGAACAUGAACACAUCGUAUAUUGGAAAUCAAUAAAACAUUAGAUAACAUUUUAUUAAAAAAAUUUCUAUAUUCGUCACAAAGAAUAUGGAACUAUAGAAAGCGUAAAUUAUUUAAACAAUAUAUCAAA